UACAGAGGUCCCGAGCGUUGUUCGGAUUUAUUGGGCGUAAAGGGUGCGUAGGCGGCGGAGUAAGUUGGGUGUGAAAUCCCGGGGCUUAACCUCGGAAUGGCAUUCAAUACUGCUUCGCUAGAGUACUGGAGAGGAGGCUGGAAUUUACGGUGUAGCAGUGAAAUGCGUAGAUAUCUAUCGGAACGCCAAAGGUGAAGACAGGCCGCUGGGCUUGUACUGACGCUGAGGAACGAAAGCGUGGGGAGCAAACGGG
rnacentral:rRNA from 1 species